rnacentral:rRNA from 1 species
UACGAAGGGGGGCUAGCGUUGUUCGGAAUUACUGGGCGUAAAGCGCACGUAGGCGGAUAUUUAAGUCAGGGGUGAAAUCCCAGAGCUCAACUCUGGAACUGCCUUUGAUACUGGGUAUCUUGAGUAUGGAAGAGGUAAGUGGAAUUGCGAGUGUAGAGGUGAAAUUCGUAGAUAUUCGCAGGAACACCAGUGGCGAAGGCGGCUUACUGGUCCAUUACUGACGCUGAGGUGCGAAAGCGUGGGGAGCAACAGG